CAGCCAUUCUCUCUCUGUCCGGAAGGGAAGGUGAGCGAAGAGGUAGUAUCAGCCAUUCUCUCUCUGUCCGGAAGGGAAGGUGAGCGAAGAGGCGGUAUCAGCCAUUCUCUCUCUGUCCGGAAGGGAAGGCGAGCGAAGAGGUAGUAUCAGCCGUUCUCUCUCUGUCCGGAAGGGAAGGUGAGCGAAGAGGCAGUAUCAGCCAUUCUCUCUCUGUCCGGAAGGGAAGGUGAGCGAAGAGGUAGUAUCAGACAUUCUCUCUCUGUCCGGAAGGGAAGGUGAGCGAAGAGGCAGUAUCAGCCGUACUCUCUCUGUCCGGAAGGGAAGGUGAGCGAAGAGGUAGUAUCAGCCAUUCUCUCUCUGUCGGGAAGGGAAGGUGAGUGAAGAGGUAGUAUCAGCCAUUCUCUCUCUGUCCGGAAGGGAAGGUGAGCGAAGAGGUAGUAUCAGCCAUUCUCUCUCUGUCCGGAAGGGAAGGUGAGC
ensembl:lncRNA